CGGAUCAGGUAGGGAUACCCGC
rnacentral:rRNA from 1 species